UACGUAGGGGGCGAGCGUUGUCCGGAAUUAUUGGGCGUAAAGAGCGUGUAGGCGGUUCGGUAAGUCUGCCGUGAAAACCUGAGGCUCAACCUCGGGCGUGCGGUGGAUACUGCCGGGCUAGAGGACGGUAGAGGCGAGUGGAAUUCCCGGUGUAGCGGUGAAAUGCGCAGAUAUCGGGAGGAACACCUGUGGCGAAGGCGGCCGACUGGGCCGACCCUGACGCUGAGGCGCGAAGGCGUGGGGAGCGAACGGG
rnacentral:rRNA from 1 species